rnacentral:rRNA from 1 species
AUGGCAAUCAAACUUGACAAAACUUCGAAUGGAGUUACCAGUGGAGCAUUUACUGAGAAGAUCAAUGGAGUUGGCCGGAGUAUCGAUACAAACCUGGUCGUACGAGGCCAGGGCCUCUAUCCUCUGUGUACACCAGCCCGCCCGGCUCCCGCUAGAACCAUGGCAAGGCAACGAGCUUCCCCUCCCUUCCAGCUACCCUGCAUGACAUGCCUUGCCCACCCAAUAAAUCAAGAUUUUGAUGAUGCCAGGGCGGCCGUUCAAGUAACACAAAAUGGUAGCAGCACAUGUAGUUCAAGCUCAUCAGUUCAAGCAGUAUGUGGUCGGCCAGAAACUGGCUUGAAACGAAGGAGUCGACAACACACUGUACAGAAGAUAACAAGGACGGAGACGACCAAACGUGGUGGAGGCCACGGUUCCCGCAUGGGCUCGUCCGAGGUAGAGUUUCAGUACUGA